rnacentral:rRNA from 1 species
UACGGGGGGGGCAAGCGUUGUUCGGAAUUACUGGGCGUAAAGGGCCCGUAGGCGGCCAACUAAGUCGGAUGUGAAAUCCCCAAGCUUAACUUGGGAACUGCAUCCGAUACUGGAUGGCUUGAAUCCGGGAGAGGGAUGCAGAAUUCCAGGUGUAGCGGUGAAAUGCGUAGAUAUCUGGAGGAAUACCGGUGGCGAAGGCGGCAUCCUGGACCGGCAUUGACGCUGAGGAGCGAAAGCUAGGGGAGCAAACGGG